rnacentral:rRNA from 1 species
AAGGUAGCAAAAUCAAUUGUUCAUUAAUUGUGGACUGGUAUCAAUGGCUUGACGAUAGAAAAACUGUCUCUUUCUACUUCUUUAGAACUUUAUUAAAGAGUGAAGAAGCUCUUAUAAGUUAGCGGGACGAGAAGACCCCGUUGAGCUUUAGGUGCUUAAACUUACUUAAAAGUUUACCACUUUUGGUUGGGGCAACCGAUUUUAGUAUUAAACAAAAAUAAUCAAAAAAUGAAUUAAAUCUUAUCUUUAAGCCUUAAUUUUAAGAAAAUAUAAUAAGUUACCACGGGGAUAACAGCGUAAUUUUUUUUGAGAGUUCUUAUUGACAAAAAAGUUUGCGACCUCGAUGUU